rnacentral:tRNA from 1 species
AAAUAGGUAGGUUAUUUGAAACCUCUGGGUUGUGGUCUCAGGAAUACAGAAAAUGUCUUAUUUC